UAAACUUCCUCUUAUGGUCUCCCCAGCUGCUUGCUCCCCCCAUGACCCGAGGCUUCAACACUUCCUUAUGAUGCCUGAGGGACAGUGGCCUGAUCUAACCAUGAGUUAUUGUGCAGAGCUUAGCAGAAAAUAAGGCUUCUAAGUGGCACUUUACACUUUUGUUAUGGGAAUUCCAUAGAAAUAUGGGAAAAUGUAGUAAAGAUCUCUGUGUUAAUUUUCUAUUUCUCAUGUAGUAAUAUAAGCUCAGUGGCUUUAGAAUAAAAAAAUCAUUUUAACUCUUUGGGUAAGAUACAUAGAAAGGAAAUACUUGGGUCAAUGGAGCAUCUAGUUCCAUAUUUUCAGGAAUAUGCACACAGAUUUUCAUAGUGGUUAUACAAACAUACACUGCUUCAAAUAGCAGAGAAGGGGUCUUAUUCCCUACAACUUCACCAGCAUUUGUUAUUGGUUGAUUUCUUGAUAAUUAUAUUUUUUUCUGAAGUGUGAUGGAAUCUCAGUGCUGUUUUGAUUUGCAUUUCCUGAAUGACCAGUGAUGUUGAACAUUUUCUCAUGUACUCAUUUGUUAUUUGUAUUUAUUUUCCUAGAAAUAUACUUAUUUUAGAGGCUCAUUUCUGAAAUGGGUCACAGCAAUAUGUGCACACCCACAUAAGUGGCACAUUUUGUGACAUCCAAAUUUUGGGAACAGUCCAUAUGCUCUUACAAGAUGAAUGCAUAAAGAAAAUGCAGUUUGUUUUUCCUUCACAAUUUAGAACUAGUCUGCCAUAAAGAGGGAUAAACUUGAGAUAUAUUUGGGUAAACGUUUGCAACCUAAGAACAUUGUAAUAAGUGAAAUAUAUUGGACAUACACAUUUAAAUGUUGCAGUAUUUCUCUGGGAUGAGAAGCCACAAACAAAUUAAUGACCAAACCAGAGAAUAGAUUUUGGAAAGUAGGAAGAAAAUAUUCAAGUGUGAAAGGUGAAGAAAGGAGAAGGCAUGGAGUUGGAAAAGAAGGAUAUAGGCAUUAAAAAGUUUUUUUUUUUUUUUUUAAAGAAUGGAAGGAAAGAAAUAGAAAUAAAGUUCAGUAAAUGGAGAGGGGGAAAAAGAUUGAAAGGAAGGGAAUGGGUAAGCAAGAUGAAGUAUGAUAUAUUAUGUAGUGGUACAAAUUCCCUAUGAUGAAUGUGACUACUAUGUAUGUCAAAAGUUACCAAUAAAAUUCAUUAACAACAAAAAAAAGAAGUUCCCAUUUGGAGCCUGUAGGACAGAAUAUUUUCCUUGUCUUUCUUGCUGCUUGACGUCUUUGGCUUUCCAUGGCAAAAAGUCCUUUUCCUCUAGAUUUUGAGGCAUCACAAUUUUAUCUCUCUGACACUACUUCCAGCACCACGUCUUGCUCUGAAUGUUCCUCAUCUGACUUCACAUUAACAGUCAGUAUAUCGUGUGUUUAGUUGUUCUUUCUCUCCCGUCUCCUCAUCUCAUACGAAUCAACCAAUUUCAGUGUUUAGGGUGGAGAAAGUUACAAUCUCUAUGGGAAAAAUGUAAAAAUGCAACUGCUGUUAUAUAGUUGUUUUACAUAGGAACUCAGCUUCUACACUUGGACAUAGUAGGAAACAAGAGUCUCAUACUUUGCAUAUAAUGGUGGUUUGAGACUUCAGAAGCUUCUGCUGUUCCAUACUGGAGGAAAUAUGCACUGUGAGCAUCUGAAGCAGCAGAGCAUUUACAUAAGGAGCAGGCAGCAGUGUGAUUCAGGUGAGUGUGAGAUGAGUGGAGAUUGACAACACAGGGGCUCUAAGAGCCUUCCUGAGUGCUGCCUUUGACUUAUAGCUUGAGAAUAUGGUUUGAACACAUAGUUAUGCCUUUGCCAAGUAUUAUAAAAGCAGGCAUCCUGAAAGGUGAUUUGUAUGGCUUGCAAAAUUUGCCUUGUAAUCUUUACUGAAACAGAAAAGAAAUUUAAAGUUGAACAUAAAAUAUAGUUCUCAGCUUCUUGGAAGCCAAUGAUGAGCCAAUCAUGUAUUUUAUAAUAUAUGAAUUGCAAUCAUAAAGGACAACAUUCAACUUGUAACUAUGACUAAAGAUUUUCUUAGAAUACAAUUUGAGGAUAAUUUUUUGAAGCACUAAACAGAAGCUGUUAAGUUCUGAGUUGUGUGAUGCCUUAAAAAGUAAGUUUCUAGAGAUCCAAAACAGAAUUGACAGGCUUCAUUUUUAUUUUUAGAGUACUAGACAUUCAAUCUUGGGCCUUUUCCAUGCUAGGUGAGUGCUCUACCCCAGAGCUACAUCUCCAUCACCCAUCUGCCAAUAUCUUAUAUGGUGACUGUGUAUGGACAGUCAAAGGGAGAGGCUUGUGUGUGGCCUGGGCUCAGGUGAACUAUCCACACUGCCUGCAGAGGGAGACAGCAUUGGAGUUAGCCGUGGUGAUGCCAUCAGGGUCCUGGACUCACAUUAGGCUUAUGUGCCCUUGAACACCUGGAUGCUGUUUCUGAACUGAGUGGAGUCCUGUCAGUGCCCGCCACAUGCUGAUGUUUUCACUUGCAACCUGAAACCUAACCAUCCUGUAGCUGUACAAGGCCUGUGCUGGCCAAAAUAUUUUCUCCCAGCAGGAAUAACCAUGUUCUGUGUGAUAAGAGCUUAUAUCAAAUACAAUAUUAAAAUCAUAAGCAGCAUCCAGUGAAUUUUGCGUGAGUUUAAAGUUUGCAUUCUUCACUUGAAAUGAAAUAUUAAUAGCUUGCAUAAAAUCACUGCACAGAGUAUAUAGAAUACAAAACAUAAACUAUUUGGUUCUGUUGCUCAGAUCCACUAACAUGGGAAGCAAAUUUAUAAAUAAGAUUUUAAUGCACACUUUCUUUCACUCAGUGUACAGAACAAUAUUUAUAAAAUAAAAAUAUUAAAUUAUUCUGUUGCCUUAAUUUUUCAGAGCUCUCCUCUUUUACCUGGAACCUCAAUCAUGAUUCUAGGGCUCCGUCUGUGACUUGUGCCCUUUACCGCUGUGUUUGAGAUCUUGAGAAAAGUGUGAGAAAUACCAAAGUCUGGUCCACAUCCAGGGAGUGAGAAGAACAGGCCUGGAUGGACAUAGCAAUCGGAUUUUCUUUUCUUGCUUUCUGCAGGAUGGAAAUCAGGUUCUGUACAGCUUGGAUAAGCACUCUGGCACUGAGUUACACCCUCAGUCAGAAUUACAGUGUUCAUGAGUUUCCAGGUGGUUACAAAGCGCCUGCCCUGCUUCUCCCUUGCUAUGUGUCUUUCUUACCUUUCUUCCCCUCCUCCUCUCCUCUUACUCCCUAUGCCUUCUUUCUGAUCUCUGAAUGUUCUGAGUUCUUCCUCCUUUUAUGACCUUGUACCUCUUUGCUGUCCAAACAGGUACCAUCACCUCAUCCACAUCAACCUCCAAUUAAAUCUCCAUGAUGACUCUAGCCCUAGCCAUAGCCUGAGAUGUUCUUUCAGCUUAGAAAACCUGGGAUUUGGAUGAAAAAUGGCUGUCAUGAAGGAAUCAAAUAAUAUCGACUAUUUGGUGAGCCUGUGGGGAAAAAGAACUUAACUACUUUGUUAAUGGAAAUGUUAACUAGUACAACCACUAUGGAGCUCUAUAUGGAAAUUCUGCAAAAAUAAAAAACUAGAAAUUCUGCUUGA